rnacentral:rRNA from 1 species
UACGGAGGGUGCAAGCGUUAUCCGGAUUCACUGGGUUUAAAGGGUGCGUAGGUGGGCUGGUAAGUCAGUGGUGAAAUCUCCAGGCUUAACUUGGAAACUGCCAUUGAUACUAUUAGUCUUGAAUACCGUGGAGGUCAGCGGAAUAUGUCAUGAAGCGGUGAAAUGCUUAGAUAUGACAUAGAACACCAAUUGCGAAGGCAGCUGGCUACACGAAUAUUGACACUGAUGCACGAAAGCGUGGGGAUCAAACAGG